rnacentral:rRNA from 1 species
AUUGAACGCUGGCGGCAGGCCUAACACAUGCAAGUCGAGCGAGCGGCGGACGGGUGAGUAAUGUCUGGGGAUCUGCCCGAUAGAGGGGGAUAACUACUGGAAACGGUGGCUAAUACCGCAUACUAUCGGAUGAACCCAUAUGGGAUUAGCUAGUGGGUGGGGUAAAGGCUCACCUAGGCGACGAUCUCUAGCUGGUCUGAGAGGAUGAUCAGGAACACUAGGACAGAGAGACGGAGCAGAGUACUACGGGAGGCAGCAGUGGGGAAUAUUGGACAAUGGGGGAAAGGCAGAUGCAGCCAUGCCGCGUGGAUGAAGAAGGCAUUAGGGUUGUAAAAUACUUUAAGCGGGGAGGCGUAACCCGCAGAAGAAGCACCGGCAAACUACGUGCCAGCAGCCGCGGUAAUAC